GCUUCUUAAAUAUUCAUCGCGAUCUAGCGUGUGCGUAUACAGCGGCACAAAGCCAAAGGGAUAAAUCAUUGACUCUAGGUUAGAUAGACAAAUGGAAAUUAAAGAACCAGACUAUAUUCUUAAUGCAAUAAAGAAAAGGGAAAUACUAAAAAAAACGAAAAGCAACUAAAGAACAAGUACAAAUAACUAAAAGAAAUAAGAAGUAAAGAAUCACAAAUAACAUACCGAAAAAUAUAAUAUAUAAAAAUGAUAUUGAUAGUAAAUAAAUACUUGAUUUUAAA
rnacentral:misc_RNA from 1 species